UACGGGGGGGGGCAAGCGUUGUUCGGAAUUACUGGGCGUAAAGGGCGCGUAGGCGGCCUUCUAAGUCAGACGUGAAAUCCCUCGGCUCAACCGAGGAACUGCGUCUGAUACUGGAAGGCUUGAAUCCGGGAGAGGGAUGUGGAAUUCCAGGUGUAGCGGUGAAAUGCGUAGAGAUGUGGAGGAACACCAGAGGCGAAGGCGGCUUUCUGGUCUGCUCUUGACGCUGAGGCGCGAAAGCUAGGGUAGCAAACGGGG
rnacentral:rRNA from 1 species